UACGUAGGUGGCAAGCGUUGUCCGGAAUUAUUGGGCGUAAAGCGCGCGCAGGCGGUCCUUUAAGUCUGAUGUGAAAGCCCACGGCUCAACCGUGGAGGGUCAUUGGAAACUGGGGGACUUGAGUGCAGAAGAGGAGAGUGGAAUUCCACGUGUAGCGGUGAAAUGCGUAGAGAUGUGGAGGAACACCCGUGGCUAAGGCGGCUCUCUAGUACGGUACUAACGCUGAGACGCGAAAGCGUGGGGAGCGAACAGG
rnacentral:rRNA from 1 species